AGAGUUUGAUCAUGGCUCAGGAUCAACGCUGGCGGCGUGCCUAAUGCAUGCAAGUCGAACGGGGUCAUCUUCGGAUGGCUUACGUGGCGGACGGGUGAGGAACACGUGGGUAACCUGCCCACUGGUGGGGGCUAGCCUUCGGAAACGGAGGGUAAUUCCGCAUGUGCUCGCAUCCCGCGUGGGGGAUGGGAGGAAAGCCGAGAGGCGCCAGUGGAGGGGCCCGCGUCCGAUUAGCUAGUUGGUGGGGUAACGGCUCACCAAGGCGAUGAUCGGUAGCUGGUUUGAGAGGAUGAUCAGCCACACGGGGACUGAGACACGGCCCCGACUCCUACGGGAGGCAGCAGCAAGGAAUUUUCCGCAAUGGGCGAAAGCCUGACGGAGCAACGCCGCGUGCGAGAUGACGCUUUUCGGAGUGUAAACCGCUGUUCGUGGGGACGAAGCACUGACGGUACCCACGGAGGAAGGCCCGGCUAACUACGUGCCAGCAGCCGCGGUAAUACGUAGGGGUCGAGCGUUGUCCGGAGUUACUGGGCGUAAAGCGCGUGCAGGUGGCUCAUUACGCCCGGCGUGAAAGCCCCCGGCUCAACCGGGGAGGGUCGUCGGGGACGGGUGAGCUUGAGGGUCGCAGGGGCUGGUAGAAUUCCCGGUGUAGUGGUGAAAUGCGUAGAGAUCGGGAGGAAUACCCGUGGCGAAGGCGGCCAGCUGGGCGACACCUGACACUGAGACGCGAAGGCGUGGGGAGCGAACGGGAUUAGAUACCCCCGUAGUCC
rnacentral:rRNA from 1 species